rnacentral:miRNA from 1 species
CAUGCCCCCCUCCGAGGGUAGC